rnacentral:rRNA from 1 species
GAGUUUGAUCCUGGCUCAGAACGAACGCUGGCGGCAUGCCUAACACAUGCAAGUCGAACGAGACCUUCGGGUCUAGUGGCGCACGGGUGCGUAACGCGUGGGAAUCUGCCUUUAGGUUCGGAAUAACUCGGGGAAACCCGUGCUAAUACCGGAUGAUGACUUCGGUCCAAAGAUUUAUCGCCCAGAGAUGAGCCCGCGUCGGAUUAGCUAGUUGGUGAGGUAAAGGCUCACCAAGGCGACGAUCCGUAGCUGGUCUGAGAGGAUGAUCAGCCACACUGGGACUGAGACACGGCCCAGACUCCUACGGGAGGCAGCAGUGGGGAAUAUUGGACAAUGGGCGAAAGCCUGAUCCAGCAAUGCCGCGUGAGUGAUGAAGGCCCUAGGGUUGUAAAGCUCUUUUACUCGGGAUGAUAAUGACAGUACCGGGAGAAUAA